rnacentral:rRNA from 1 species
GACGAACGCUGGCGGCGUGCUUAACACAUGCCAGUCGAACGGAAAGGCCCUGCUUGCAGGGUACUCGAGUGGCGAACGGGUGAGUAACACGUGGGUGAUCUGCCCUGCACUUCGGGAUAAGCCUGGGAAACUGGGUCUAAUACCGGAUAGGAGCCAUUUUUAGUGUGAUGGUUGGAAAGUUUUUUGGGUGUAGGAUGAGCUCGCGGCCUAUCAGCUUGUUGGUGGGGUAAUGGCCUACCAAGGCGGCGACGGGUAGCCGGCCUGGGAGAGUGGACGGCGACAGAGGGACUGAGAGACGGCCCAGACACCGACGGGAGGCAGAAGUGGGGAAGAUUGCACAAGGGGCGCAAGCCGGAUGCAGCGACGCCGCGGGGGGGAAGACGGCCUUAGGGUUGUAAACUCCAUUCGCUAGGGACGAAGCUUUUUGUGACGGUACCUAGAUAAGAAGCACCGGCUAACUACGUG